UACAGAGGGGGCAAGCGUUGUUCGGAAUUACUGGGCGUAAGGGGCGCGUAGGCGGCCUGCUAAGUCGAACGUGAAAUCCCUGGGCUCAACCCAGGAACUGCGUCCGAUACUGGUUGGCUUGAAUCCGGGAGAGGGAUGUGGAAUUCCAGGUGUAGCGGUGAAAUGCGUAGAUAUCUGGAGGAACACCGGUGGCGAAGGCGACAUCCUGGACCGGCAUUGACGCUGAGGCGCGAAAGCCAGGGGAGCAAACGGG
rnacentral:rRNA from 1 species